rnacentral:rRNA from 1 species
AUGGCGCCCGCCGCCGCCGCGGGGACCGCGCGCGGCCGGCGCUUCACCGCCCUGGUCCUCGCCAUCGCCGUGGCGCUCGCGCUCGCGCCCGCCGCGGGGAGGCCGGACAAGGAGACGCGGGAGAAGUUCUACGGGAGCCUCGUCGCCAACGGCACCCACAACGCCACCGCCGGGGACAACAGCAUCGCCGACAUGUUCGGCCGCGUGCUCGACAAGGAGUUCUCCGACAGCGACGCCUCCGAGGUACCGGACAAGAACAGCUUCAACAACAGCAUCUCAGAUCAUCAAGCUGUUCUGGAGACCGUAGCUGUUAUUACACACGACAAGAAGAAUGAUACACAGCAGGCAAAUUCCUCAAGACCUUUCCAAAUAGGUGACAUGUUUGGUUCUCAGAAUGAAAAUUCUGAUGACACGGAAACUGUGAUAGACAAAGAGGAUAAUGUUUUUGUGAUGUCAAAUCGUAAAACAAAGUAUCCAACACUUCAGUUAGAUUUAAGAUUAAUUAAAGAUCUGGUAGUUAUAAUUGUUUCAGCUACUGCCGGUGGUAUCAUAUUCUCUUGUUUGGGGCAGCCGGUUAUCGUUGGCUAUCUACUUGCUGGUUCUCUUAUUGGACCCGGAGGCUUGAACUUGAUCAAUGAAAUGGUGCAGGUGGAGACCUUUGCACAGUUUGGUGUGGUUUUUCUUCUUUUUGCACUUGGCCUUGAAUUUUCGUUGCCAAAGUUGAGAGUGGUUGGGCCUGUUGCUGUGCUUGGUGGUGUACUUCAGAUUGCUUUGUUCAUGUUCUUGUGUGGCCUAACUGCUGCGUUGUGCGGUGCUAAAUUAUCCGAGGGAGUAUUUGUUGGCACUUUCUUGUCAAUGUCAUCUACUGCAGUGGUUUCCAAGUUCUUAGUGGAAAAGGGUAGCACAAAUGCACUUCAUGGUCAAGUUACAAUUGGCACCCUUAUUCUUCAGGAUUGUGCAGUUGGCCUUCUGUUUGCUCUCAUUCCAGUUCUGGGUGGUUCAAGUGGCAUAUUUGGAGGAAUGAUGUCAAUGGGGAGACUGUUACUUGUACUGUCCAUAUUUAUAACUGUUGCAUAUAUGAUGACUUGGUCAUUCAUCCCUCGAUUCUUAAAACUGAUGAUCCAGUUAUCAUCACAGACAAAUGAACUCUAUCAGUUGGCUGCUGUCGCGUUCUGCUUGCUGCUAGCCUGGUGCAGUGAUUAUCUUGGAUUGAGUCUUGAACUGGGCUCAUUUCUUGCUGGCGUUAUGAUAUCCACCACAGAUUUUGCUCACCAUACUUUGGAGCAGGUGGAAGCAAUCCGUAACUUAUUUGCUGCACUCUUCCUUGCAAGUAUUGGCAUGCUCAUCCAUUUCAAGUUCUUAUGGAAUCACGUGGACAUAUUACUUGCAGCUGUUAUACUUGUUAUAAUAGUUAAGAGUAUAGUCAUAACAGCUGUCAUAAAAUCAUUUGGAUACAGCAUCAGAACAGCUUUCAUCGUUGGUCUAUCAUUAGCUCAGAUUGGAGAGUUUGCUUUUGUGCUUCUGAGCCGUGCUUCACAUCAUCAUCUUAUAGGGGGGAAAAUGUAUCUGUUAUUACUGGGAACAACUGCUCUUAGCUUGGUAACAACUCCCCUCAUUUUCAAAUUAAUUCCUGUGGUGACGCAACUCGGCAUCCUUAUGCGUUGGUUCCCCUCAGAAAGUGGUGUGCAGAAUGAGGAAAAGGCAACAAUGCUUGAUGUUUACAACAGAACACUCUGA